ensembl:misc_RNA Metazoa_SRP Metazoan signal recognition particle RNA
GCUGGGCACGGUGGCUCAUGCCUGUAAUCCCAGCACUUUGGGAGGCCGAGGCAGGUGGAUCACUUGAGGUCAGGAGUUCGAGACCAGCCUGGCCAACAUGGUGAAACGGUGCCUCUGCUAAACAUACAAAAAAUUAGCUGGGACUAUAGGCACAUGCCACCAUGCCCGGCUAAUUUUUGUAUUUUUAGUAGAGAUGGGGUUUCACCAUAUUGGCCAGGCUGGUCUUGAACUCCUGACCUCAGGUGAUCCACCUGCCUU